GAUCAUGGCUCAGAACGUACGCUGGCGGCACGCCUAACACAUGCAAGUCGAACGCAGUAGCAAUACUGAGUGGCAGACGGGUGAGUAACAUGUGGGAAUCUGCCUUGUGGUUCAGGACAACAUUGGGAAACCGAUGCUAAUACUGGAUAAGCCCUUACGGGGAAAGUUUUAAUGCCAUAAGAUGAGCCCGCAUUUGAUUAGUUAGUUGGUGAGGUAAUGGCUCACCAAGACAAUGAUCAAUAGCUGAUCUGAGAGGAUGAUCAGCCACACUGGGACUGAGACACGGCCCAGACUCCUACGGGAGGCAGCAGUGGGGAAUCUUGCACAAUGGAGGAAACUCUGAUGCAGCGAUGCCGCGUGAGUGAAGAAGGCCUUUGGGUUGUAAAGCUCUUUUGUAGGGGAAGAUAAUGACUGUACCCUAAGAAUAAGGUCCGGCUAACUUCGUGCCAGCAGCCGCGGUAAUACGAAGGGACCUAGCGUAGUUCGGAAUUACUGGGCGUAAAGCGCGCGUAGGCCGUUGAGUUAGUUAAUUGUGAAAUCCCAAAGCUUAACUUUGGAACUGCAAUUAAAACUGCUCGACUAGAGUUUGAUAGAGGAAAGCGGAAUACAUAGUGUAGAGGUGAAAUUCGUAGAUAUUAUGUAGAACACCAGUUGCGAAGGCGGCUUUCUGGGUCAACACUGACGCUGAGGCGCGAAAGUAUGGGUAGCAAAGAGGAUUAGAUACCCUCGUAGUCCAUACCAUAAACGAUGAUUGCUAGAUGUUGGAAAUUUAUUUUCAGUAUCGCAGCUAACGCAUUAAGCAAUCCGCCUGGGGAGUACGACCGCAAGGUUAAAACUCAAAUGAAUUGACGGGGACCCGCACAAGCGGUGGAGCAUGUGGUUUAAUUCGAAGAUACGCGCAGAACCUUACCAACCCUUGACAUGUCUGUCGCGAGUUUAGGAAACUAGACUUUUCGGUUCGGCCGGACAGAACACAGGUGGUGCAUGGCUGUCGUCAGCUCGUGUCGUGAGAUGUUGGGUUAAGUCCCGCAACGAGCGCAACCCUCGUCUUGUGUUGCCAACAGGUAAUGCUGGGAACUCACAAGAGACUGCCGGGGUCAACUCGGAGGAAGGUGGGGACGACGUCAAGUCAUCAUGCCCCUUAUGUCUAGGGCUGCACGCAUGCUACAAUGGCCGAUACAAAGGGCUGCGAUACCGUAAGGUGGAGCGAAUCCCAUAAAGUCGGUCUCAGUUCGGAUUGAGGUCUGCAACUCGACCUCAUGAAGUUGGAGUUGCUAGUAAUCGCGGAUCAGCAACGCCGCGGUGAAUACGUUCCCGGGCCUUGUACACACCGCCCGUCACGUCAUGAAAGUCGGUAACACCCAAAAACAGUGGUCCAACCGCAAGGAGGAAGCUGUCUAAGGUGGGAUCGGUGAUUGGGACGAAGUCGUAA
rnacentral:rRNA from 1 species